rnacentral:rRNA from 1 species
GACUAACGCUGGCGGCAUGCCUUAUGCAUGCAAGUAAAACGGGUGAGUAGCAAUACUCACAAGUUGCGAACGGCUGAGUAUAUGGUAGGAAUCUCCCCAAUGGUGUGGAAUACCCCAUCGAAAGAUGGGCUAAUACCGCAUGACCUCGCAAGAGAAAAGCGCUUAACCGCGCGCCGAUGGAUGAGCCUAUCUCCCAUCAGGCUGUUGGUAGGGUAAUGGCCUACCAAACCUAUGACGGGUACCCGCCCUGAGAGGGGAAACGGGCAGAAUGGGACUGAGACACGGCCCAUACACCUACGGGUGGCAGCAACAGGGAAUCGUGCGCAAUGGACGAAAGUCUGACGCCGCAAUGCCGCGUGGAGGAUGAAGGCCUUCGGGUCGUAAACUCCUUUUAUAUGGAAUGAGAGUUCUAUAAGAAUAAGUAACUGCUAACUCUGUGCCAGCAGCCGCGGUAAUACAGAGGUUACAAGCGUUGUCCGGAUUUAUUGGGCGUAAAGCGUUUCGUAGGCCGCUUCGUAAGUUAUUUUUCAAAUACCACGGCUCAACCGGGGGAAGGGAGAUAAUACUGCGAGGCUUGAUUUUUGGUGGGGUUUCUAGAACUGAUGGUGUAGUAGUGAAAUACGUUGAUAUCAUCAGGAAUUCCAAGGGCGAAGGCAGGAAACUAACCAAUUAAUGACGCUGAGGAACGACAGCUAGGGGAGCGAAAGGGAUUAGAGACCCCUGUAGUCCUAGCCGUAAACUAUGCUCGCUAGGGGUUUGAAGUUUACUUCAUGUCCCGUAAGCUAACGCGUUAAGCGAGCCGCCUGGGGAGUACGGCCGCAAGGCUAAAACUCAAAGGAAUUGACGGGGACCCGCACAACCAGUGGAGCAUGUGGUUUAAUUCGAGACAAAACGAAGAACCUUACCAAGCCUUGACAUACUACCGUUUUAAGCACCCAGAAAUGGGAGCCUAUCUUUAGAAAUAUUGAUGGUAGAACAGGUGCUGCAUGGCCGUCGUCAGCUCGUGCCGUAGGGUGUUCCCUUCAGUGGGGUAACGAGCGCAACCCUUGCCAAAUAUUAAAUAUCUAUUUGGGACUACUUAAAUUUAUUUUAGGUGGAAGUGAGGACGAUGUCAGGUCAGCAUGGCCCUUAUAGCUUGGGCUACACACAUGCUACAAUGAAGCCGACAGAGGGUAGCCAAGUCGCAAGACGGAGCUAAUCCCAUCAAACGGCUUCUCAGUGGGGAUUGAAGGCUGCAACCUGCCUUCAUGAACGCGGAAUUGGUAGUAAUCGCGAAUCAGCUAUGUCGCGGUGAAUACGUUCUCGGGUCUUGUACACACCGCCCGUCAAGUGAGUAAAGUUGGAUAUACCUUAAAUCCCGUUGUACGGGAUCAAGGUAGAAUCAGCGAU